UUGCGACAUGGGGUUCCACUUCACAGCUGUCAAGCAGUCAGACUUCAUAGUACUACAGUCACGAUAGUAUCAGCUGUACUUUCAUGAAUAAGACAAAUUCAUUUUUCAGUUUCUUACAAUUACACGAUUUCAGGAAAACGUUUAGCGCUACCAGGGAAAACCUAAGAAACUUAAUUCGUUCACACGAAAUUUUUGCGGUGUUGGGGCAGGAGAAAGCAGUGGACUGUUUUCCUCCGUGGGAGAACGCGCUGUCUAUGGAUGGAGGCGUCCGCGCCAAUCCGUUCGGCGAGGUAGAGGAUGUCGUGUGCAAUGUGCGCCUCUCCAACAGCAGGAGGAGGAUCGGCCUGUGUGUUAGGGCUGCUGGACGGCGCUGGUCUCGGUGGAUGGACGCGUGUCUCCUGCUGGGCUCUCUGCUCCUUUUGCUCUCACACACAGCUGAUGCAUCAACAACUGCCAGUAAAAGUUCUCCAAUGGUCACCAAUCCACCCACCACAGCAGUCUCCCCCUACAGUCUCCAUAGAACCACACCGGCAAAAACUACCACCCGUCUGGAUACAACACCUGUCACAGCCUUUUCUGAUGACACAACACUGGAUGUAACAGCUGGCCAUGAAAACGCAACUUUGAAUACAACAGCCCAUCCAGACAACACAACAUCAAGCACAAAAGGUUUCUUCUACUGGAUGGUUCUUUCUGUUGAAGUCAUUGGUGAUGACAGGAAUGAAUCUCACAUAACAGAAUGGCUGAAGGAAACUCUUCUCACUCACCUGGACACCUGCGCAACACCUGACGGCCAACAGGUGAACAGCACAACCCCAACUCCCUCCAUCACAUCCAGCCAGCCUACCAUCAUGAGCUCUAACACAGCCUAUGAUCAAACCGGCCAAUCCGAUACAGCCACAGCCUUGGACGUCACCAUGGCAACCACUAUGUCCACUUCCACAACAGCAACAUCAUCCCACAUGUCCAGCCGUGGCCCUCUCCUCUCAUCAUCCCACAUGUCCAGCCGUGGCCCUCUCCUCUCAUCAUCCCACAUGUCUAGCAGUGACCCUCUCCUCUCACACAGCACAACGGUCUGGCCACAGAACCAGAGCACAACAGGAAACAGUACGGAAGCUGAGAAUGGGACAGACAGCAGUGUGUUUCAGGACAUUGAGGUCUGCUGUGAACAUACGGUGAACAUUAGUCAGACAGUAUGUACUGUCCUGGUGAAGCUUUCAUCUCCCAGACACCCUUGCUGCUUUAGGUAUUCCCUGUGGAAUGCCAGCCUUACCAAUAAUGAGCCUAUUUAUGCCAGCAUCCUCAACAACACCGUCAAACUCCUCAAAGGCGUUUGGCAUAAUGACAGCACAUCAUUACCCCCUGGUGGAGAUGCCAAGAAGUGCAACAGCUCACUGGCUUCCUCAGAGGACUGUAGGAACUCCUCCCCGGUCAACUGCACCAUGUGAGUUUGAAGGCAGAACCUCCACUGGAGAUCUCCUUC
rnacentral:lncRNA from 1 species